GGCUGGCUGGCUCAGUUGGUAGAGCAUGCGACUCUUGAUCUCAGGGUUGUGAGUUUGAGCCCUACGUUGGGCA
rnacentral:tRNA from 1 species